GGGAUAAAAAUGUUCUAAAAUUGUGGUGAUGAUCACACAAGUCUGUGAAUAAACUAAAAGCUAUUGAAUUGUACACUUUAAAGGGAUGAGUUUGAUGGUAUGUGAAUUAAAUAAUGCUUU